rnacentral:rRNA from 1 species
UACAGAGGCCCCAAGCGUUACUGAGAAUCACUGGGUUUAAAGGGUGCGUAGGUGGCGCGUUAAGUCUGUUGUGAAAUCCCUGGGCUCAACCCAGGAAAUGCUUCGGAUACUGGCGUGCUUGAGGCUAGUAGAGGUCACUGGAACUGACGGUGGAGCGGUGAAAUGCGUAGAUAUCGUCAGGAACGCCGGUGGUGAAGACGGGUGACUGGGCUAGUUCUGACACUGAGGCACGAAAGCGUGGGGAGCGAACGGG